UUGAGUUCUAAUAGAUUGUUGAUUGAGAUUUUAGGGGCCUGGAACCGAGGUGUCAGCAGUAAUUUAAAGAAGGUAAAUACUGGAACAUUCAUAAUCAGAAGUUGUUAUUUUUUAAAAUGCCAGCCUUCUGGAGAAUGCCUUUUCUUUUGUAGUCUCUGUCAAACAUUGGAAGGAAAUUUCAGUUCAGAGAUGUCUGAAGUGGGACUCAGUGGUCAGCAGAAACCUGAUGACAGCAGAGUGGUCCAGCUUGUUUCUCCUGGGGGCGUUCUUCCGAGGAUAUUUGGGCUGCCUCCAGAAUCGCAGUGUCUUGGGCCGCCGCAAGGAUGACAACGAAGCAAGAAGGCCCCUGCCAAAUGCAGGUCCCCAGGUCUUAGACUUCUCAGCCUCC
rnacentral:lncRNA from 1 species